rnacentral:tRNA from 1 species
AGAGACUUAGGAUAACAUAGACCAAAAGCCUUCAAAGCUUUAAGUAGAAGUUAAAAUCUUCUAGUCCCUG